UACAAGCAAUCUCUUCCUACAUAGCUCUACAAAGUAAGUCAGCGGGUUUCUCCCCAUUUGUUUGCCAGGUAUUAUUCAUUAAUCUCUUCCAUAAAUAAUUGAUCUUGCUUAAUUUAUAUUUUUGUCGCUUCAUUUAUAUGUUUUCCUAGAGAGUAGAGGCCCAACUUGUAACUCCUUAGAGCCCGCUCUGCCGUAAGAUAUUACGGUAUAUGACGGUUCCCAGCAGGUUAAGUUGCAAGUUAUUAUAUAGAGUUGGUUGGAUGUCUUUUAUUUUUAUAAAUAUUGUUAAUAGUUAGUUGGAUGAUGAAUGAUACUUGCUAGGGGCUUUAUAUUCGGCCCUCCAAUUGUGUUA